GUUAGGAAUAUUGGACAAUGGGCGAAAGCCUGAUCCAGCCAUGCCGCGUGAACGAUGAAGGCCUUCGGGUUGUAAAGUUCUUUAGCCGAUGAUUAUAAUGACUGUAGUCGGAAAAUAAGCCCCGGCUAACUUCGUGCCAGCAGCCGCGGUAAUACGAAGGGGGCGAGCGUUAUUCGGAAUCACUGGGCGUAAAGCGUGCGUAGGCGGUUUUGUAAGUUAGGAGUGAAAGCCCAGGGCUCAACCUUGGAAUUGCUCUUAACACUGCAAGGCUCGAAUCUCGGAGAGGAUAGCGGAAUUUCCAGUGUAGCAGUGAAAUGCGUAGAUAUUGGAAGGAACACCAGUGGCGUAAGCGGCUAUCUGGACGAGUAUUGACGCUGAGGCACGAAAGCGUGGGGAUCAAACAGGAUUAGAAACCCCUGUAGUCC
rnacentral:rRNA from 1 species